rnacentral:lncRNA from 1 species
CUCACUGGAUAUUAAGAUAAUCAAAGUUAUCUAAAUGUAAAGGUUCAUUUACAAGUGCUCUAGAGAAGAAGAUAUGUUAAUUAAUUGAAGCCAAAACAAGAAAAAAAAAGGGAAUGUAAAUGUCAAAUUAAAAAUGCAAGUAAGUAACCAAAAGAGAAAUAAAAAUGUAGAAAAGAUGGAGGACUUGAAAGGGAGAGGGGAACAAGGUGAUGUCAAGCCACUUGAAGGGGAAUUAGUGCUCGCGAACUCAAGAUUAGUGGUGUAUGCUACCACUUGAGCUCUAGGCUCAAGAUAAGACAAGCAUAUAUGACACUUUUAAGAAAGCACACUAAUAAAGGUGGUCAAAUAUAAGGUAAUCUUACUCUAAAUAUUCAAUCAUUUACAUGUGAUCUAGAAGAUCCCUCAAACAGGUGUGGUAGGGACCUCUAAGCAAAUAUAAUAAACAUGUUUCUAGAAUCUAGGGCAACUUCUAGACAUCUCCCUUGCCUUAGGGAGAAAAACUAUAAAUAUAUCAUAUCUCAGAAAAUACAAGGAUCUUAUAAUCACUUUUAUUCAUUUACUCACUCAAAAAUUACUUACUCACUUGAGCGUCAAAGUCUUUGGAGGUGAACUUUUUCUCUCAGUAAUUCAAAACUCAAUCACACCUUAACAAUCAAGUCAACCCACCUAAAAAACAUCUCGACCAAAUCUGGUAAAAAUAACCUUGAAAACCA